rnacentral:rRNA from 1 species
GGCUGCUUACACAUGCAGUCGAACGAUGAACCGCUUUCGGGCGGGGAUUAGUGGCGAACGGGUGAGUAACACGUGGGCAAUCUGCCCUGCACUCUGGGACAAGCCCUGGAAACGGGGUCUAAUACCGGAUAUGACCGUCUGCCGCAUGGUGGAUGGUGUAAAGCUCCGGCGGUGCAGGAUGAGCCCGCGGCCUAUCAGCUUGUUGGUGAGGUAGUGGCUCACCAAGGCGACGACGGGUAGCCGGCCUGAGAGGGCGACCGGCCACACUGGGACUGAGACACGGCCCAGACUCCUACGGGAGGCAGCAGUGGGGAAUAUUGCACAAUGGGCGAAAGCCUGAUGCAGCGACGCCGCGUGAGGGAUGACGGCCUUCGGGUUGUAAACCUCUUUCAGCAGGGAAGAAGCGAAAGUGACGGUACCUGCAGAAGAAGCGCCGGCUAACUACGUGCCAGCAGCCGCGGUAAUACGUAGGGCGCAAGCGUUGUCCGGAAUUAUUGGGCGUAAAGAGCUCGUAGGCGGCUUGUCACGUCGGUUGUGAAAGCCCGGGGCUUAACCCCGGGUCUGCAGUCGAUACGGGCAGGCUAGAGUUCGGUAGGGGAGAUCGGAAUUCCUGGUGUAGCGGUGAAAUGCGCAGAUAUCAGGAGGAACACCGGUGGCGAAGGCGGAUCUCUGGGCCGAUACUGACGCUGAGGAGCGAAAGCGUGGGGAGCGAACAGGAUUAGAUACCCUGGUAGUCCACGCCGUAAACGGUGGGCACUAGGUGUGGGCAACAUUCCACGUUGUCCGUGCCGCAGCUAAC